GACGUAGGGCGCGAGCGUUGUCCGGAUUUAUUGGGCGUAAAGAGCUCGUGAGCGGCUCGUUGCGUCGGCUGUGAAAACCCGCAGCUCAACUGUGGGCUUGCAGCCGAUACGGGCGGGCUGGGAUUCGGUAGGGGAGACUGGAAUUCCUGGUGUAGCGGUGAAAUGCGCAGAUAUCAGGAGGAACACCGGUGGCGAAGGCGGGUCUCUGGGCCGAUAUCGACGCUGAGACGCGAAAGCGUGGGGAGCAAACAGG
rnacentral:rRNA from 1 species